rnacentral:tRNA from 1 species
UUGUUAGCUCAAUGGUAGAGCAAAUGGCUGUUAACCAUUAGGUUAUAGGUUCGAGUCCUAUAC